AUUUGGAUUGGAUUUGGAUUGUCAUUUCUUCAUUUUAAAAAAUGAAAAUCCAAACCGAAAUUUUCAUAUCCAAUCCGAAUUGCCCAAACACCCAUCCCUAUAUCUACCUAUCCAAAGGCGACUCAAUUCUUGGGGCUUGAAACCAGAUCUGAUUAAGGACGGAGGAGUACUUACUAGGUACCAUCCACCGCAAUCUUUGGGCAAGGCCUAUCAGUUGGAUGCCACUGAAUACACCAAAGUCCAACAAUAGCUAGCUUUCUCACAAUUAAUGUAGCAUCCCGUUCUUCAUCUAUCCGAAUAUGUAAUUCUCCCCGCUUCAUAUAAAGGUCAUAUACUUAAUAUAACUUUGUCAUGUGCAUCAGGUAAUGGACUAGACAAUGCACCAGCAAAAGGAGAAAGUGAUGGAAAUUUCUGCGUGGAAGUGGGGAGUCAUUUACUGCAACAAGAAUGUUUAUCAGCAGCAUUUUCUAACAAAGCCAUUGAAUCAGACGAAAAUGUAAUGGAACUUUCCAUCUGAUGAAACAAUGGAGCAAUUGGUUGAGAUUGAAGAGGCUGAGGAGGUA